CGCAUGACUUUUGUGUUGGUCUGCUGAAAUGACAAAUGACGUGGGCAUCAGUUUAAAGCCCCUCCUGGCCAGAAAUGGACAAACUUGGAUUAACCCUGACAUAACCAAAGUCAGAAACAAACCAGAGAAUGCUCUUCUG
rnacentral:lncRNA from 13 species